UACGUAGGGGGCGAGCGUUAUCCGGAUUCAUUGGGCGUAAAGCGCGCGUAGGCGGCCGCGUAGGCGGGGGGUCAAAUCCCGGGGCUCAACCCCGGUCCGCCCCCCGAACCCCGCGGCUCGGGUCCGGUAGGGGAGGGUGGAAUUCCCGGUGUAGCGGUGGAAUGCGCAGAUAUCGGGAGGAACACCGGUGGCGAAGGCGGCCCUCUGGGCCGAGACCGACGCUGAGGCGCGAAAGCUGGGGGAGCGAACAGG
rnacentral:rRNA from 1 species